ACUCCUACGGGAGGCAGCAGUGGGGAAUAUUGCACAAUGGGGGAAACCCUGAUGCAGCCAUGCCGCGUGUGUGAAGAAGGCCUUCGGGUUGUAAAGCACUUUCAGCGAGGAGGAAAGGUUGGCAGCUAAUAUCUGUCAGCUGUGACGUUACUCGCAGAAGAAGCACCGGCUAACUCCGUGCCAGCAGCCGCGGUAAUACGGAGGGUGCAAGCGUUAAUCGGAAUUACUGGGCGUAAAGCGCACGCAGGCGGUUGGAUAAGUUAGAUGUGAAAGCCCCGGGCUCAACCUGGGAAUUGCAUUUAAAACUGUUCAGCUAGAGUCUUGUAGAGGGGGGUAGAAUUCC
rnacentral:rRNA from 1 species